rnacentral:tRNA from 1 species
GGGGAUUUAGCUCAGUGGCACAAGUGCCUGCCUGGCAAGCUCGAGGUCACAAGUUCAAUCCCUGGUACUCCCCU